UGAAGUCAGUUACCAUGGAAACGAGGCUACAGGGAACAACAGAAAGCGCCAAAGCUCCGUGUCUCUAUGGUUUUCUUCACUUUUUCAGAUUUGUCCAUGCUGAUGGCCAUGCAGCAGAGUUCAAGCAAACCUGUCAGAAAACAUCUCUAAGGGGCUAUGUAUGAACCAUAUGGCUAGAUACCCAUACAAGUUACAGAAGCUCCAGUAUGGAUCCAGCCUCACUUGUAAAGACUUCAGAUGACGCCUACACUCUCAGAGACUUCAGAUGAUGGCAACUAGAUGGACAUACAAAACUGUCAAACAUUAUAUAUAUAUAUAUAUAUAUUAGGGGUGUAACGGUACGUGUAUUCGAACCGGACCGUUUCGGUUCAGGGCUUUCGGCACGGUGCACACGUGCACCGAAAGGCCGAAUGCAUUUUGUGUGCGCCUGUGCGGAACAUAAUAGGUGUGUUUCCGCACGAACAUAUUAAGCGGCGGAAGUCUCCUCGUUCAGCGCAAGUCUUCUGUCAAACAUAUAACAUAAUUAGGCCCGCAGAAAAUUUUUUAUUUACUUAGUUGUAUAUCCGUUUGAUUAUUGAUGUAAACGUUUACGUGUCGUAUCUAAAAGCGCAUGUUAAACGCGUGUCAACGCGCUGCUUUGUUCUUUCAAAAGUGCAUGAGAGGUUGCGCGUCUUUCGUUGCUACGCAAUCAUGAGACGCGCUUUCUGUGACAGCGAGAAUAAGGAAUACGUGAUCAGAUUUUUCAUCUGCACCUCAUGUCAAUCAUAUCAUUGUCACAAUGCGAUCAGCUGGUCGGGACACGGAGGAGCUGUAACCCGGGCUUACUCAGCUGUUACUCAGCUGCGGAGGGGUUCGUUAGUAAAGUCACAGCUUACAUUGACAACACAAGCAAAGAUUAGGAGAAACAUGCAAAAGAUCAAAGAUGGCUAUGUAUGCAGCUCACUAAUCUCAAAAUGAGUGUAUAAUAAGUAUAUCAUCAUGUUGCUUCCUAUGCAGUUACACAUAGAGCAGUAAUAUUAUUUUUAUACAGAGAUGGUACAUAGCCAAUUCAAUACUGUGAGUUAAACAAUCCAAAAUAAAUCAAAACAGAACAUUUUUGGUGUCAAAAAUGUAGGCUAAUUGUUGAUAAAUGUAUUCAGGAAUUGAAUUUGUUAGUUCAAGGUUUUAGUAGAAAAAGUUUAAGAAAAGGUUAAGAAAAGAGUUACCUUCUGUUAUAAAAUAAUGUAAAAAAGAACUUUGCAGUAGUAUUUUAUUUAUUAUUUUUCAUUUUAUAUAUAUUUUAUAUGUUAUAUUUUAAUAAAAAGUGUUUAAAAAAGUGUAAACAAAUUGUAAAAAAAGUUUAUAGUAAUAAACAACCUGCAGUUUAAUGUUUGCAUUUUCCCCUUACUGAACCGAAAAUGAACCGAACCGUGGCUUCAAAACCGGGGUUCGCACCGAACCGUGAUUUUUGCGUACCGUUACACCCCUAAUAUAUAUAUAUAUAUAUAUAUAUAUAUAU